UGCUUUAUUCAACAGAAGAUUCCCAUAACAAUUUUUGUGUCAGAAGUGGGAUCACUCGUGUGAGACGUCAAGCUACACAAAAGGGGAAAAGAAAGUGCCUCAGACUAGACCCUGAUCUGGACUCGGCUCCACCCAGAAGAUGGCCAGCCAUGGAGGCCAGUGCUCCUGACCUGAAGGAGAGGAACAACCCCAACAUGGAUGCAGAUAAGCGGAAAUGCACAGACACACACACACACACACACACACACACACACAAUGAGACAGAAUUAGAGACAUAUAACACACAACAGCUACUUUUGCAAGCCAUGCAACAUCUUGAGUCUACACAAAAAACAACUGAAAAUUUCUGAGCUUUACACAAAAUACACACACAGUGCAUUCAGAAAAUGCCAAAACACACAAUCCCAGUCCAAGGCCAAAACAUCACUCAUCAACAGAGUCAGUAAUUGGACAAAAGAUAUUAAUCCCAUCCCAAAAAUAAGUACAGAUACCCUAAUUAGUAGCAGCAUCAGGUACUUAUGUACUAGAGAGGUACACAGUCCCACUCUCUUGCUAUAAUGAUGUUGAGGGAAAGCUUAAAAACAUUCAUUUUUGCUGUCCAAACACAGUCCUGUAAAUCUGCUAGGGAAAGAUCUUAUGUGUCGCCUAGGUAUUGCAUUGGUUUUUCACUCCACAUGGCAUUGUUAUGACUGUUUCUAAAACAGGUUCUUUUAUAAAGUAAAGCAAAGAAGACCUGAUACAUGCUUAUCAGUGAAGAAUUCCAGGCACUGCAUUCAACUCUGUCAAUAACACACUGGUACAGGAGGCCAAGACACUACAGGUACACACACAGACUUCAUGACAACACAGAGCGUACACUGCACAUCUCAUAUCUCUCAUGGGACUGGGAAUAAUUUUGAGGAGAAAUGGUACAGGCAAAGCCAGGAUAAACAGGAAUUUAAACUUUACUGUAUCAGUUACUCUGCCUAAGCCAUCAUGUCAAAUUUUAUUCAGGGUGCCACACUCCAAUCCCCAUAUUUCAUUGGUCAAACCCAAAAACAAGAGGUGGGAGGAUUUAGGACCUUGGACAAAAAACAUGUAACGAGGCCUUGGGGUGGAAAGCAGCUUCAGAUUCUGGUAUUGACUUCCAUCUGCAUUUAAAGGUGCACCGGAAAAGGUUUUCUGCUGUAGUGACUGCGGUAAGAACUGUUAAGCUUCUUUCAGACACCGGUUUUCACACAAUCUCAAAAGUAAAGGAUCCAUUUGAUUUGUAUCACAAAUGUUACAAUUUUGUAAACAACAUUUCUGAAAUUCCUGAGUUAAAUCAGGUGCCAUCUUGUUUGUGGGUGAAUCACAAAUAUGAUGUAGGAUUGAUCAAAGGUGCCAAACCAGUUGUGAUCACACCAAAAUUCUCGUACAGGCCAUGCAAAAAUCAAUAUUGAUUGAAAAUAAAGAAGCAGUUGAUGGCAUUAAACCAGUGUUUGAAUCUCUCCUUAAAGCUGGAGUAAUCAUCCCAUGUGGAAAUUCUCCUGAUUGAACACCAAUUUUUCCUGUGAAGAAAAAAAAUCUGACAUUCUGGACAGCCCGAUGAAUGGAGAUUUUUUAGGUUCUGCAAGCAGUAAAUGCAGCAGUCCACAUGCACACUCCAAAUGUUCCAAAUUCACACUUGCCUUGCUAAAUCAUUUAGCUGAUAAUGGUCACAAAGCCAGUCUGUCUAAGUUACAAUUUGUCUUGGGGAAAAAAAAGCUUAUUUUGUUGGGUCAUGUGAUCACAGCAGAGGGCAAACCCUCUCACCCAAACAUAGUGAAGCCAUCCAAAACAUUCCACAGCCAGAGACCAAGAAACAGGUUAUGUUUUAAGUUUUUUAGGCAUGAUGUCAUACUGCAGACAGUGGAUCCCUAACUAUGCUGAAAUCAAGGCACCAUUGGCUGCAGUUGCUCAUGGGAAAGGCCGCACAGUCAAAGAUAAGGUGACAUGGACACCUGAAGCAGGAAAAAGUUUUUGCUGAUUUAAAAUUUGGUUUUGCAAUCUCCUCACACAAACUUCAUCCACACAGACUGCUGACAAGUGGGGGGAGGAAUACAUGACUUAUACAAGAACAUGGGGGCCAACAGAGACCUGUAGCUUACUUUUCAACUACUACUUACUGUUAAAAGAUGCAAUGUUCUUAGCAGUGCUACUCCUCUCCCAACACCAGAUAAUGGACAACCGCAUGACUGUGUGGCAGUGAUAACAGAAACCUGCUCCCCCAGACCUGACCUGCGGGGCACAUCUUUGCAGAACGCUGACCUGGAACUGUUUGUGGUCAGUUCAGCCUCAGGAGACCCAGCAACUGGUACUUCUGCCGCCGAAGCUGUAGUUUGAUCUGUGAUGACAAGCCUGCUGCUGCUCCUACAAUCCCACUCAACACCCACUGUUUAGAAAUUAUUAGUACUGCUUCUUGUAUUACUGCUACUAUUGCAUUUACGAUUAUUGCAUUUUCUGUCAUGGUUAUCAGUAACGGUGUGUUAAAACACCUUGAAGAAAGUCACCACAAUCUUCAGACUCUCUCUCAACACUGAGAGGUUUUCUGUCAUGUGAUCUGCUUUAACAUGUGAUGAUACAUCUAAGACAUAUAAAGUCAUGUUGAUGUGUGGUACAGGGGCUAAAUGCUUUAUUUUGUGUGUAUCUUGUGUGUAGUAUCUGUUGGCAAGGGCAAAUGAUUUUUUAUGAAUAUGACUUUUGUUUUAACAUUUAAAGCCACCCCUUGCUGAAUUGUGAUGUAAUAAAGCUUCUCUUAAAUGCC